rnacentral:lncRNA from 1 species
AUUGAUUUGAUUUUGUCCGGUUUUAGACGGUUUUAGAUUCAAACGUUUAAUUCGAAAUUUUUUCUUAAAAUUAAAAAUUUUGAUUUUAUUUUGGAAUAAGAAAAUUUAAAAAUUAAUCCAAACCGAAAAUGCGAAGUACGUAAUUAAAGCGAAUAGAAGUAUUCUGACCGUCAAAUUUUCUUCCAAAAAUGUCUUUUCAAAUAUAACCAAACUUAAAAUAACCAUUACAAGAUAAUUUUUUAAAUUAUCAACCGAUAUAAUUUAAAUUUUUAAAUUAAUGUAAAUUUACCAUACAUAAAAGUAGUAAAGCACAUAAGAAUUUUGGAUUUAACGAGUGGGAAUCCUAAAUAGAGUAAAAGAAAUAUGCCAUACACUUUAAAGAAAAUGCCAAUUUGCUUAAAGAAUUCAUCGAUUUUGAAUUUUUGCCAAAAUGGGCUAAUUUUUUAGAUUUUGCAUAUUCGCCCUGAAUUUUUGGUAAAUGAAAGAAAAUACGCUUAUUCUUGUUUCCCUCUUCUUCUUUUUUUUACCUUUCAUUCGAUUAUCUCCUCUUAGUUCAUCUCCCUCUUCCUUACCAUUUCUUCCUCCUUUUUUUUCUCCUCUCAUUUCCGCCCCCUUCUCCUCCUCCUCCACUACCCCUAUAUUGAGGGCUUUUUGCAUUUAACCCUCUCACAAAUUUUUUUUCACAAAUAGUCCCACAAAAUUUAUAAUUAUAAAACUGGCCCUAUCUCCGUCAUGCAAGCGCCACGUCAACAGCUAGCUGGCAUAAGUUAAACACGGCGAACCAUCACCAUGUUUAGAUACGGUAAAUGGUUCACCAUGUUUAAGCUAAAUUGUUUGAGUUUCUUUUGCACUGCAUGGUUGGCUACUAUUCAGCCCGUCCAAAUACGAUGAAUGGUUCACUGUGUUUAAACAUGGUGAAUCAUUUAUCGUGUUCAACUUAACCCUCCACUGUCGCUGACAUGGCCGCUUACAUAGCGCUUGCAUGGUAGGGAUAGGGGCAGUUUUGCAAUUAUAAAUUUUGCGGGGCUAUUUGUGAAAAAAAUUUAAGAAGAGGUUAAAUGCAAAAAAAGCCCCUAUAUUGAUGCUGCACUUCUCUCUCUUACCUCCCCACACCUCCGUUGACACCAACACCUAUAUAGCACAAAUCGGGGAGGUAAGGCUGCACAGAGGGCAUGACCACGAAUUAUGAUGAGGGUGCCGUAGGAUUUGAGGAAGAAGGUGAGGAAAAGUACAUUGGGGCGGAGGCAAUUGUUGUGGUAGGAGCGAGAGAAGGGGCAUGAUAGCGUAAAAACAUGCAGAGAAUGAAAGAAAAAGAAAAAAAAAUUAAAAAAUAAAGAAAAGAUAUGUAUUUUUCUUCUCUGAAAAGUCCAUCAUAUGUUGUGGUCGCUAUAGGAAAUGCCAAGAAGUAGAGGGAAAAACAAAAGAUGAAGUUACGCUGUUUGAAACUAGGUUGCACUGUUUGAUGCUAAGUUGCACCAUUUAAAAUUAUGUGAGACUAAAUUCAACUAUAUAAAAUAAAAGUUACACUGUUUGAGACUAAUUUGCAUUAUUUUAAACUUAAAUUACAGCAUUUAAAAUUAUUUGAGACUUAAAUUGCAGUGUUUGAGAAGUUGCAAUUUAGUCUCAAAUAGUUCUAGAUGGUGCAACUUAAGUCUUAAAUAGUGCAAUUUAGUUUUAAACAGUACAAUUUCUCUUUAUGUGGUGCAACUUAAUCUUAGAUAGUUUUAUGUGAUGCUGUACUUUUCAGGAGGUCACCUAUCCUAUAAAUACUUUAGGCCUAUCAUGUGUAACCCUCUUAACCUUUUGAUCUCAGCCACUACCCGAUAUGCUACAACCAAGUUAAGAAACUCAUAAGCGUCAAGCAAUGUGAGACUCGUCUCGCUAGCUUU